AGUUGGGCACUCUAGCGAGACUGCCGGUGACAAACCGGAGGAAGGUGGGGAUGACGUCAAAUCAUCAUGCCCCUUAUGACCUGGGCUACACACGUGCUACAAUGGGAAGUACAACGAGUCGCGAAGUCGCGAGGCUAAGCUAAUCUCUUAAAGCUUCUCUCAGUUCGGAUUGUAGGCUGCAACUCGCCUACAUGAAGCCGGAAUCGCUAGUAAUCGCGGAUCAGCACGCCGCGGUGAAUACGUUCCCGGGCCUUGUACACACCGCCCGUCACACCACGAGAGUUUGUAACACCCGAAGUCGGUGAGGUAACCUUUUGGAGCCAGCCGCCUAAGGUGGGAUAGAUGAUUGGGGUGAAGUCGUAACAAGGUAGCCGUAUCGGAAGGUGCGGCUGGAUCACCUCCUUU
rnacentral:rRNA from 1 species